rnacentral:rRNA from 1 species
UACGGCGGGUGCAAGCGUUAUCCGGAUUCACUGGGUUUAAAGGGUGCGUAGGCGGGCAGGUAAGUCAGUGGUGAAAUCUUCGAGCUUAACUCGGAAACUGCCGUUGAUACUAUCUGUCUUGAAUACCGUGGAGAUGAGCGGAAUAUGUCAUGUAGCGGUGAAAUGCUUAGAUAUGACAUAGAACACCAAUUGCGAAGGCAGCUCGUUACACGAAUAUUGACUCUGAGGCACGAAAGCGUGGGGAUCAAACAGG